UCUGCCUUCUGCCUGAGUCAGGCUGGGUUACAGUGAUGGCAGCGCUGGGCUGGAACGAGAGAUGAAAGGGUCCCAGCUGCAGGACUGAAACAGGACUAAUAGACCGAUCAAGGUGACAAAGCAGGAGGAUUGGCUCUGAUGGAAUCCAGAUGCCGGACGCUCUUCCCUGGUGUAAUACUACACAGAGACAAUUGUCACCUGUCCCACUUCUGGGACACUGAGCUAAAUGACAGGAAUGGCUGACGGCAGGGCUCGGCAGAAGGCACCUUACACUCUGAGAGUACAGAGCCAAGAUAAUCACUUGUGCUUGGAACAGUGCCAGGAAUAUGGUUCAGGGCACAUUCACAUCUGUCACCAACAAGAAAUGGGCUUGGGUGUCACCGGAAACAAGGAGAACAGAAUCUAAGGAUUCUCAAGCCCGGAAAAACCUCUGACUUCUCCAUUUUCUCUGAGGCUUCACACUAGAUCUUUUAAAGUUCUCAACAGGGAUAAUUGGUUAUGUUCCUGAAAGAACUUGGUAAACAGCUGAUUUUCAACCCUUGUAGGUCCCCACCAGUGUCUGGGCCAUUCCUCCAAAACACCAGAGGGAGCUGUUGUGCUGCCCAGUCCCAGCACCAAGAUGGUUCCUAAGUGGAGUGUGGCUAUAGACAUAAUGUAUAUGCAAACCAUCACGACCCAAGUACCUAGGAUAUACCAGUCAUAGAGAGCAGAAUACUUGAAACUGGGACAGUCCCAGAGUUUCCAGAAUUAUGGUGGCCAAUGUCCAUGGAGGGAAAUGUAGUUCCUAUCACAUCUGUAAGCUGUUACCUCAUCAGACUUCCCCCUUUCACUGUGUUUUGAUUCUUGAUGAGGUUUGCAGAUGAAACAAGUGAAAAAUGAAUCCAUCCUAAAGUAAUAAAGAGCCUCUUGGAAGGAAGAGAUGUAGACAGAAACAUCACUGCCACCAUAUGGCUUACAUUCCAUGCCUGCCAGUUCCUAAAAUGUCUGAUUAGUGGAUAUUUUCCAAGGUCCUAGACCUGGAGCUGAAACAGUAGGUACUCAAUAAAUACUUGCUGAAUGGAGAAAUGACUCCAGUUUCAGGGCUGGUCUUGCCACUCUCUGACCACUUGGUCCCUCUGGGAUUCAGACCCAUCCUCUGGGAAGUAGUGGGUGGGAGGAGAAAGUGAGAUUCCACUACCUAAUCACUGGGGUCUGCCUUA